rnacentral:rRNA from 1 species
UACGGGGGGAGCAAGCGUUGUUCGGAUUUACUGGGCGUAAAGGGCGCGUAGGCGGCCACCGCAAGUCGACUGUGAAAUCUCCGGGCUUAACCCGGAAAGGUCAGCCGAUACUGCGGGGCUAGAGUGCAGAAGGGGCAACUGGAAUUCUCGGUGUAGCGGUGAAAUGCGUAGAUAUCGAGAGGAACACCUGCGGCGAAGGCGGGUUGCUGGGCUGACACGUGACGCUGGAGGCGCGAAAGCUAGGGGAGCGAACGGG